AUUGAACGCUGGCGGCAGGCCUCAUACAUGCAAGUCGAGCGAGCGUCGGACGGUUGAGUACUGUAUGGUGACUGCCCGAUAGAGGGGGAUAACUACAGGAAACGGUAGCUAAUACCGCAUACUAUCGGAUAACCCAUAUUGGAUUAGCUAGUAGGUGAGGUAAUGGCUCACCUAGGCGACGAUCCCUAGCUGGUCUGAGCGGAGGAUCAGCCAAACUGCGACGUGGACACGGCCCAGACUCCAAGGGCGGCAGCAGUGGGGAAUAUUGCACAAUGGGCUCAAGACUGAUGCGGCCAUGCAGCGGGUAUGAAGAAGGCCCUAGGGUUGUAAAGUACUUUCAGUCGGGAGGCGUUACCGAAAGCAGAAGCACCGGCUAACUCUGUGCCAACAGCCGGGGUAAUAC
rnacentral:rRNA from 1 species